AUUAGUUCAGUUGGUUAGAGCAUGGUGCUAGUAACACCAAGGUUGUGGGUUUGAUCCCCAUAU
rnacentral:tRNA from 1 species